rnacentral:lncRNA from 1 species
GACUGCUUUGGUCCUCCAGUGAACAGCAUGCAAGCACUGCCUUUUUCUGGUAGAUUGUUGGAGGUGGACUUAAUAAUAAAAUUCUUUCAGUAUACAUCAGCUUAUCCCAAAAAAGAAAUUAGAAGAUGAUCUUUACUUUUAGUAUAAAAGUGAACAUCACCCGUGCACGAGAAAGAUGAAAAGGAUUGACUAAAAUGUGUUUUACUGUACCCUCUAGUAAACAGAAGCACAAAACCACGGAAUUGUAGUGACACUGUCAUCACUGAAUUUCAGCAGAAGUGUGGCGCAUCCCAGGAUAGAUUCCACCACAGUGGAAGCACAGCCCUCAGGAUUCCCUAGGGUUACUCUUGAACACGUGGAACCCAGGCUUCAGCUCUUCCUGUUGGUUUGGUCGCUGGCUCAACUUAAUUCUCCCAGCAAGCAGUGAUUGUUGUUCAGUAACAGAAGAAAUCGGCCAUACUAGCUGCCUUCCUGACUCCAUGAUUUUGUUCUUUGUGUGUGUGGCUGGCAACAGUUUAAGAAAACUUCCAGAAUUGCUACAGCGUCUUAUGUUCAAGCAACUACCUUGGUGGGAAGGGAUGGACAGCUUGGGUUACCCAGACAAGACCGGACCAAGAGUAAAUAGAAUGGGUUGAGAAGGCUCAGUGACAACACAGGCAGGGAAAUGUAUGGACACAGGCAUGUGGGUAAUAUCACUCACCUGGAAAUGCGGAGACUGACACACAUCCAGAUUUGAGCAGACUCUCACACCUCCUCUCUGUGAUGAAGAUUACCUCACUGUUUUGGGAGCGUCAGCCUCCUAAAAGAAGGAAUUCUCAGCCAGAGAAACAAUGGACAUACCUGACAGUAUAUUGCUGUCAUUUAAAAUUCAUCAGAUGUGCUCUAAGUUGUUUGCUGCAUAAGUAAUUUUACAGGCAGAAUCUUUUUAAAGGUGUGACAGACCCACGUAUUUUUGUAGCAAGCUCCUGUAUUCGCUGCAUCACCUUCAACUUCAUCCCUCGGGAUGUCUGAAGGAAAACUCAUUGCUAAUUGCUAAAUGUCUCUUAAAAUAACAGCCUAUUCUCUGAAAUUGCUACCAAUAAUAAGAAGUUAAAAAAUAGAUCGCUAUCCCUCACUCCACUCGAUUUUUACCUCUUCUGCCCUGCUCAUUAAGGAAAUUAGUCAACAUUGGCCAUCUCAGCUUGAAAAUGGGCACAGGACCAGAACCUGAAUCCUAAUUCAUACUGCGCCAUUCAUUCUUCAGCAACAAGAGUCCUACCUUGUGUCAGAUGAAGUAAAACAUGGGCUGUCUUUUGGAUGUGUCCCAUAGGCUUCUGAAGGCCACAGCAACAGUUAAAUUUUAGCAUACUGUAAAUACCAAGGUUCUUCUUGGUUACAUUUCUUGGUGUACAAUGUUGCAGCAUAUGCUACAUGGAAGUGAAUCUUAAAGGCCAACUUCUGCUCUUGGAUUCAGAUCUCCUUGACUUCAGUGAGAGCGCAGAGCAAGGGAGCCUGCUGACACCUGCAAGCAGUAAGUAACCAUGGCAAAAUCUCCACGGGGAGCUGCAGGAGAGAUCAGCAGACAUUUCCUGCAGGUCUCCUGUGCUUCAUGUGAACUGUCACACUGCACUUGUUCUAACCGUGCUUUGCACAGUGAGCGUGCACGUGUAUGUCUUG